GAUGAACGCUGGCGGCGUGCCUAAUACAUGCAAGUCGAGCGAACGGACGAGAAGCUUGCUUCUCUGAUGUUAGCGGCGGACGGGUGAGUAACACGUGGAUAACCUACCUAUAAGACGGGGAUAACUUCGGGAAACCGGAGCUAAUACCGGAUAAUAUCUUGAACCAUAUGGUUCAAAAGUGAAAGACGGUCUUGCUGUAACCAAUAGAUGGAUCCGCGCUGCAUUGGCUAGUUGGUAAGGUAACGGCUUACCAAGGGAAGGAUGCAUAGCCGACCGGGGGGGGUGAUCGCCCACCUGGGAACGGGACCACGGUCCAGGCUCCUACGGGAGGCCGCGGACGGGAAUCUUCGGCAAUGGGCGAAAUCCUGCCGGAGCAAGCCGGCGUGAGUGAUGAAGGUCUCCGGUUCGUAAAACUCUUUUGUUGGGGAAAAACAUAUGUGGAAGGAACUGUGCACAUAGUGACGGUAACUAAUCAGAAAGCCACGGCUAACUACGUG
rnacentral:rRNA from 1 species